CCUACGGGUGGCAGCAGUGGGGAAUAUUGCACAAUGGGCGCAAGCCUGAUGCAGCCAUGCCGCGUGUGUGAAGAAGGCCUUCGGGUUGUAAAGCACUUUCAGCGGGGAGGAAGGCGUUAAGGUUAAUAACCUUGUCGAUUGACGUUACCCGCAGAAGAAGCACCGGCUAACUCCGUGCCAGCAGCCGCGGUAAUACGGAGGGUGCAAGCGUUAAUCGGAAUUACUGGGCGUAAAGCGCACGCAGGCGGUCUGUCAAGUCGGAUGUGAAAUCCCCGGGCUCAACCUGGGAACUGCAUUCGAAACUGGCAGGCUAGAGUCUUGUAGAGGGGGGUAGAAUGCCAGGUGUAGCGGUGAAAUGCGUAGAGAUCUGGAGGAAUACCGGUGGCGAAGGCGGCCCCCUGGACAAAGACUGACGCUCAGGUGCGAAAGCGUGGGGAGCAAACAGGAUUAGAUACCCUUGUAGUC
rnacentral:rRNA from 1 species